UUCUAUUUAACACUCACUAUGUGUGGNGGGACGAAUUAACUACUUUGUGGGCGAGCAAAAUACAACCUUCUACAACCGACCUCUUGGUUGUCUCAUCCAUGAAUAACGCACCCAAAUGCGANCNAUAAUGUGAGUUGCAUNAAUAAAUGAAUGAUU
rnacentral:rRNA from 1 species